GACGAACGCUGGCGGCGUGCCUAAUACAUGCAAGUUGAGCGCUGAAGGUUGGUACUUGUACCGACUGGAUGAGCAGCGAACGGGCGAGUAACGCGUGGGGAAUCUGCCUUUGAGCGGGGGACAACAUUUGGAAACGAAUGCUAAUACCGCAUAAAAACUUUAAACACAAGUUUUAAGUUUGAAAGAUGCAAUUGCAUCACUCAAAGAUGAUCCCGCGUUGUAUUAGCUAGUUGGUGAGGUAAAGGCUCACCAAGGCGAUGAUACAUAGCCGACCUGAGAGGGUGAUCGGCCACAUUGGGACUGAGACACGGCCCGAACUCCUACGGGAGGCAGCAGUAGGGAAUCUUCGGCAAUGGACGAAAGUCUGACCGAGCAACGCCGCGUGAGUGAAGAAGGUUUUCGGAUCGUAAAACUCUGUUGGUGGAGAAGAACGUUGGUGAGAGUGGAAAGCUCAUCAAGUGACGGUAACUACCCAGAAAGGGACGGCUAACUACGUG
rnacentral:rRNA from 1 species